GAUGAACGCUGGCGGCGUGCCUAAUACAUGCAAGUCGAGCGAACAGACGAGUAGCUUGCUCCUCUGACGUUAGCGGCGGACGUGUUAGUAACACGUGGAUAACCUACCUAUAAGACUGGGAUAACUUCGGGAAACCGGAGCUAAUACCGGAUAAUAUAUUGAACCGCAUGGUUCAAUAGUGAAAUACGGUUUUGCUGUCACUUAUAGAUGGAUCCGCGCCGCAUUAGCUAGUUGGUAAGGUAACGGCUUACCAAGGCAACGAUGCGUAGCCGACCCGAGAGGGUGAUCGGCCACACUGGAACUGAGACACGGUCCAGACUCCUACGGGAGGCAGCAGUAGGGAAUCUUCCGCAAUGGGCGAAAGCCUGACGGAGCAACGCCGCGUGAGUGAUGAAGGUCUUCGGAUCGUAAAACUCUGUUAUUAGGGAAGAACAAAUGUGUAAGUAACUAUGCACGUAUUGACGGUACCUAAUCAGAAAGCCACGGCUAACUACGUG
rnacentral:rRNA from 1 species